UUUUUCAGGAAGGAUGUCGAUUCUGCGCUUCUCAGUAACUAGUGUUUCAUUUACUAACUGAUCUGAAAGAGCAGCGUAAAGAAAGUGGAAAGAAUAAACACAGCUCUGGGCAACAGAACUUGAACACUAUCACCUAUGAAACGUGAAAAUACAUAUCAAAAACACUGUGCAGGCACCAGAGUCCUGAGAUUGUCAGAGAAUUUCUCACAGCAAUGAAAAGCCACAAGUUGACCAAGUAAGUUAACCUCUUAAGUAGGAAGAGAGUGACACAUGGUGAAAUGAUAGCUGAGGAAAGCCAUUCGUAGC
rnacentral:lncRNA from 1 species